rnacentral:lncRNA from 1 species
UGUGCAUAUUUGGAGUCAGUGUUUGAAAGAAGGCAAGAAAAACAGGAAGGUAUUCAUGAAAGCAGAGAAGACUUGCAUGAAUGUGGGGCUGAAGCCACCCGGCAGGCAACAUUCCCUCUCCUUAUACCAAAUCAUCAGAGCUGCCCUGACCACUACCCUUCCCAGCCUUUCACCUGUGACUGUCAGUGAAUCAUCCCCCCACCAUUUCCUCCUCUCCAAGAACCCACUGUGUCCGUCUGUUAUUCUGCCUCCUUCUCUUUCCAACUUCACUUACUGCUCUCAUCUCAAUGACCAUAAACACUGAAGAUCUUUUCUCUAUCCUUCCUCAUCAAAGCCACUCAGGUCUGCCGUGUUUCCGUGGGUUCUCACAAUGCCCGCCCACGUCCGAUACACAGGGCAUUGACACAGCACUUGUCAAAUGAAUUGGGCAGUGAUAAUAAAAACAAGGCAGAAGCAUUGAUCUGUACGGUCAUUUCCU